AACGAACGCUGGCGGCAGGCUUAACACAUGCAAGUCGAACGGUUGUAGCAAUACAGCAGUGGCAGACGGGUGAGUAACACGUGGGAACCUUCCUAGGGGGUACGGAACAACUCAGGGAAACUUGAGCUAAUACCGUAUACGUCCGUGAGGAGAAGGAUUUAUCGCCCUUAGACGGGCCCGCGUCGGAUUAGCUAGUUGGUGGGGUAACGGCCUACCAAGGCGACGAUCCGUAGCUGAUCUUAGAGGAUGAUCAGCCACACUGGGACUGAGACACGGCCCAGACUCCUACGGGAGGCAGCAGUGGGGAAUCUUGGACAAUGGGCGCAAGCCUGAUCCAGCCAUGCCGCGUGAGUGAAGAAGGUCUUCGGAUUGUAAAGCUCUUUGCCAGGGACGAAAUGACGGUACCUGGAGAAUAAGCCCCGGCAAACUUCGUGCCAGCAGCCGCGGUAAU
rnacentral:rRNA from 1 species